GAUGAACGCUGGCGGCGUGCCUAAUACAUGCAAGUCGAGCGAACAGAUGAGGAGCUUGCUCCUCUGAUGUUAGCGGCGGACGGGUGAGUAACACGUGGAUAACCUACCUAUAAGACUGGGAUAACUUCGGGAAACCGGAGCUAAUACCGGAUAAUAUAUUGAACCGCAUGGUUCAAUAGUGAAAGACGGUUUUGCUGUCACUUAUAGAUGGACCCGCGCCGCAUUAGCUAGUUGGUAAGGUAACGGCUUACCAAGGCAACGAUGUGUAGCCGACCUGAGAGGGUGAUCGGCCACACUGGAACUGAGACACGGUCCAGACUCCUACGGGAGGCAGCAGUAGGGAAUCUUCCGCAAUGGGCGAAAGCCUGACGGAGCAACGCCGCGUGAGUGAUGAAGGUCUUCGGAUCGUAAAACUCUGUUAUUAGGGAAGAACAAAUGUGUAAGUAACUAUGCACGUCUUGACGGUACCUAAUCAGAAAGCCACGGCUAACUACGUG
rnacentral:rRNA from 1 species